UUCUAGCCUGCCACGAGAGUGCCAUUAUUGAUCACCUGCUGAGUGUCAGACAUCCUACCAGCUGCUUUAUUAUAUAAUCUUAAUCCUCACAACAACCAUGCAAGAACAUCCAGCACUCUACAGAAAUGAUAAGCCACAGAACAUACAGUGACUAUAGGCUAAAUCUACUCCCACCCCUCACCUAUCCAAAGACAAUCCAAAAUUCAAGAUGCAGAUUAGCCUCUUAGGUAAUGAUUCAACCACAGUCAUUUGCAGACAACCUGAGAGUGAGGAAAUAGAAAGACUACCAUUUACCAACGACUGUGAUUGGAUGGAGAUUACUUUCCAAGAAGCCAUUUCCUUUUGAGUGAGAAGUGAAGCAGAGAAAGCAGUUGGGUAGGGGUCCUUGCAAUCAAUAAAAUGUAAAAGAACAAAGAACAUUUAAACAG